rnacentral:lncRNA from 7 species
CGCCAAUGGCCGCGCGGUCCGCCUGCCGCCGCCGCGCUUGUUAGGCGGCGCGGGCGCGGGAGCAGGUGCCCAGCAGCAGGUGCCCGGCAGCAGCCCGCACCGCCCACCGCACCGCACCGCACCGCACCGCGCCGCGCAGGUAGGAGUGCAGCGGUGCCGCGUGGGGCUGGGGCGGCGCGGCGCGGGGCGGGGCGGGGUGGGGGGUGCGGGCAGCGAGCGGCUGCGGGCGCGGUGGGGGCCUCCCGCCGCCUCCGAGCAGCACCGUCGGGGCGCGCGGCGAUCCCUGCAGCCGGCCCCGCCCGCGUUACGGGCCGACGUCCUGACCGCGCCGUCUCGUUCCGCAGGAGCGGAGGGGCUCGAGCGAGAGGCGCGGUCCCGGCCGUAAGCAAGAAACUUUCCUCGCUCACAGAGCCCUCUUGGAGCAGCACGGCGCCCCGCUGCCAGGGAGCUCCUGGCGCCGGUCCGGCCCCGCCGCCCUUCUGGUUGCGGAGAGGCGCUCCCGGCCCGACGGACCCCGCGCCGCGUCCGUGCCGGAGGUGCCGCCAAAUCCGGACCGGAGCAGAAGGGAUUCACUGUGAACUAUGAGCGCUGCGACAAAACUUUUCUAAGUGACAGAAGCGUGCAUAAGUAAACUUGUAUGCAGAAAUUAAAAUCAACUGGAGUUGGUAGCAUCCUCUCUGGAAGUUAAAUAUCGUUCAAAGCUGGGGCGGCACGGGGGUCGGGUUGCGCGUAGCCGAUGGCCUCGGACCGUGCGGGAGUCGGGUACCGCUGCGGGACGGGCAGCAGCACCGAGGCGGCCGGGGGCAGCGCGACUGCGGCAAGGAGACGGGGGAAGGAAGACGGGCGGAGCGGCAUCGGAGAUAGCAGAAAGAAAAACUCCGCUGAGAAGUGUGAAAAGAAAAGGAGGGGGAGGAGCCGCCCACAUGCUGCCAGGAGCCGUCCCGCUGGCAGCUUCUCCUCUCUGCUGUAUCGCUGCCGAACUGGGCGCCAAGACAGGACAUAUGCAAAAUCAUUUCACUGUGGCACAAACACAAGAAACAUGAUUUGGAAGAAAGGACAGGGGCCAGAGUGUCUGUCUCUUAUUCUCCACUCGCAUUGCUGCAAACUGGUGCUUUAGCAUCGCUUUGAAGUCAGUCGAAUAAGUAUUAAAGAAAUUGUGAAUGGCAAGAAACCUCAGUUCGGUCCAUCUGAUAUGCCUCUGUUGAAAUGUUACUUGUGGGAUGACCUUCUCAAAACAAGGAACUGAGAAAGCUACGUGUGCUAAAUGGAUCCUGGAGGCUCGAGAAGCUUUUUCUCUCAUCACUCAUCCAUCACGAAUACACUGACAUGAGUCGUGGCCCCAAAUCGCUAAGAGUAACUUCUACAACAUAAAGCAUGUAAAUGUGCUAGUAAAUACCUUAUAACAUCAUCAGACCCAUGGCUACUCAUACAACUUUCUUCUAUCUACUGUCAUUAUUCUCCCCUUCCUCCUACCCUGCCUUACUGUUGUGAAUUAUGGGCAACUGUUGGAAAAGUGACACAGACUCUAAUUAUGUACAUAAUACCAUAAUUGAUUCAAACUACUUUGUUUCCCCAAAAUGCUAUUCUUUAUUAGCUGGCAGGCUGCUUGUUUCUGAUCCUAGCAUUGUCGGUCACAUCAGGAAAGCCAUCUCAGUAAUAAAACAGCUAUUGUGGGGGAAGUAUUAUUGGUUCUGUACAGAGCUCUUUAGCAGUAAUUAUGUACAGCUUUUAGUAAUGUGAGGCUUACCCAAGCAUCACUGAAACAAACCAUUUGCAAUGACAUGCAACGAUGCCUGUACAGUAUUUUUACAAGCAAACUGAAAUAAGACAUUUUGGUGGUAACAUGUAAAUUAGCCUUGAGGCUUGCAAUGCAAUGCUCAUCAAGUGUGUAACAUUUAAUUACAAGACCAUUGAGCAUGAGUCCUCUGAGAUUUUUCAUCCUGACAACAGAAAGAUUAUCCCACUGAACAGACAAUUUGAUUCCUCUUAUCAGAUGUGGAAUGAAUCCUCCAGUCCCUCAGCAGGCCAAGCAGGCGUUUAAGGAGUGAUGAGUUUCAGAACCCUACCUGGUAAAGUACCUUGUGGAGGUACCAGCCCUUAAGAUACCUUGCUGAAUUCCAUCUGCAAGGAAUUGAGACUUGUAGUCUCCAGGUACAAAGUACCACAGUCAUGUGGAGUCCAAUCUAAUAAAGAGCUCAGUCUGGGUUAUCUUGAUUUCUACCUUUAUAAACAAAGCCAUAUUGCACUUGAGGAGCUACAUCAUGGGCACUGCAGUGUUUCAUACAUUCAUUCAGAACUGGUUGUUUCCAACAUGCCUCAGAGCAUAGCAGCACAGGAAGCUCCAGCAAUUCUGGGCCGGUGUCAUUUGCAUCCAAAUGUGUACAGAAAUACAGACCAGAUUUUUCCUUGACUCCAGCCCCUAGCACAAACAAUACUAAGUUAUUUGUCUCAGCAUCUACUUCUAGAUGCUUCUAGAAAAGGUAGUGAUAUUUAGGUUUAGGUUGCAAGGUGGCUACACAAGGGCAUCUGAGGAGGUUGCUUCGAAAGUAAUGCCUCCCAUUUAUUUCCAUGGAAAUUACAACAGACACAGAGAGCACAAUAGCCCUUUUUGGUAGGACUCAGCUACAAAACACCAUUUUUCAACAUAGUCACCACCAUUAGCUAUGCAUUUUCACCAGUGGUGCUUAACAAUUGCACACGAAGGUUGCACCUCUCUCAAAGGCCGACCACAUGAUAUGAAAUACACAACCUUCCUCCAUUUGUUUCUCUGACUGACUUUCCCCUGUCCUGACAAACACCUGCACACUCUUCAGAGCUCUGCUCAGAGCCUGUGGUUAGGGCCCCCCGAUGACCUACACCCUCUCUGGUAGCACAUUUUAUUUUCUGGUUAUCUACACUGUUCUUCAAGUGAAGUCCUCAAUGAAUACGCUUGUGGGUGUUUUUCAUGACUAACCCUACUAGCUGACAUUGACAGAAGACAGAAAUCAUCUAUGUGGAAACUUCAGAGUAUCUCAUACAGGUAAGUUUUGUGGCAAACACAGCUUACAAGUGUUGCCUGGUUUGAUGAUGAGUGUUAAAAUUUCAUGGUUUGUUUUUUUAAGUCAUAAAGCUUGGAGUUAUAAAUGGCACAUAUAAAUGUGUGUAAAAUUUGGCAUUUAUCUAUAAACAGUGUAGAAAGAUUCUGUCCUCGUUUUUAGUCUGUAUCCUUGAUGAACUGCAUUAAAAAAAAUCAGAGGGCUGAAGUGGGAAAGAAUAAACCAUAGAAAAGUUUUGCUCUUCAUUCUAAGGGCCUCCUCAUUUUUGCGUUUGGAAUACUUGAAGAUGACAUCAGCAUUUUGUCAGGAGGAAGGAAAGUUUACAAGAAUUUGAUUACAAGAACCGAUUGAAAUUAAUUAAACUGAGUUCUGGAUUAUGAGAGUCAUACGAAAUCGUUAGCCAUUUCAAAAAUCCAAAAUUGAUGCUAUUUUCAAGUAUGCUUGAGAGGCAAAACAAUAUCCUGUAGGUUUGCUGGAGAUAGGAUUUUCAUUUUCAAUAUCUACCUAGCACAGCAAAUAUAUUUGCUAACUUAUUGUUUGUUUAGAUGCUGGAAAAUGAGAAGCCUGAGGAACUGGCUGCCCUGCUGGAUGUAGCAAGGGAUAUGACCAGAUCUGGGACAGCUAAUGUUAAUGUUCUGACAGCAUCUAGCUUCCCAAUACUCAAAUGUUAGCUUUUUAUGCAAAUAGUCUUCACAACAGCAUGCUCGAUCUUUGCUAUUGCAUGAUUAGUGUUCUCAUGUCUAAUCAAUAAAUCCCUAGAGCCUCUCCAUCUAAUGACCAUUUUGCUCAGUCUCUCCAGUAGGGAGGUCUGUUUAGCAGCAGGUUUUCAGCAGAACAAAAUGUGGAAUCAAUAGCCUGAGAAUAAUCUGCCAGGUUGUCCUUAUGAAAUAUUUGUAUUUUUUCAUGCAAGUUCUAACAGACCAAAUGACUUUUCCAAUACGGAAGGGUUUAGUGCCUCGUAUGGAAAUACAUCAACUACACGAUCACCAGCACACACAGUAGGAUCUCUCAAGGUCACUGGUGAAUUGACUGGAGAGCUUCAAUACAGCUUUAGAGUCACGUCAUGCAGAUACUGAACACCCACCUAAAUGUUUACAAAUUGCCUCUCAGGGACUACAGCAUGUAGGUGAGCAUGGCCCUGGGAGGAAGCAUGGCUUUCGUCUUCCGUGCUCGCUCCACACCUGUACCUCCCUGCUGCUGCACAUAACAGAAAUCGAAAUCUUCUCUGCUCUCUGUUCUAGGCCUGAUCUGGGGGAGGGAUCCUGAUGCCAGCCUCCUCUCCUGGUUGGUUUAACCAGUACAGUAUAUGACAGCAGGAGCCCUCAGCAAAGAGUCUGGGGUUAGGUUUUUUUUUUAGCUUGGUUUCCUAAGGAAAUGAGGGUCACGUCACUGCUGUCUGUCUGUCUGUCCUUGUUUUUCUCUCAUACUGCCUCAAAGAAACAUUUUAUCGUGUGAGAAAAUUUCAGCCAAAAUACAAAAGCAUUGC